UACGAAGGGGGCUAGCGUUGCUCGGAAUCACUGGGCGUAAAGGGUGCGUAGGCGGGUCUUUAAGUCAGGGGUGAAAUCCUGGAGCUCAACUCCAGAACUGCCUUUGAUACUGAGGAUCUUGAGUUCGGGAGAGGUGAGUGGAACUGCGAGUGUAGAGGUGAAAUUCGUAGAUAUUCGGAAGAACACCAGUGGCGAAGGCGGCUCACUGGACUGGUAUUGACGCUGAGGUGCGAAAGCGUGGGGAGCAAACAGG
rnacentral:rRNA from 1 species